rnacentral:tRNA from 2 species
GCGCCUGUAGCUCAGCUGGAUAGAGCACCAGUCUUCGGAACUGGGUGUCGGGGGUUCGAUUCCUCCCAGGCGCGUCA